UGAACGCUAGCUACAGGCUUAACACAUGCAAGUCGAGGGGCAUCAGGAAGAAAGCUUGCUUUCUUUGCUGGCGACCGGCGCACGGGUGAGUAACACGUAUCCAACCUGCCCUUUACUCGGGGAUAGCCUUUCGAAAGAAAGAUUAAUACCCGAUGGCAUAAUGACUCCGCAUGGUUUCAUUAUUAAAGGAUUCCGGUAAAGGAUGGGGAUGCGUUCCAUUAGGUUGUUGGUGAGGUAACGGCUCACCAAGCCUUCGAUGGAUAGGGGUUCUGAGAGGAAGGUCCCCCACAUUGGAACUGAGACACGGUCCAAACUCCUACGGGAGGCAGCAGUGAGGAAUAUUGGUCAAUGGGCGCUAGCCUGAACCAGCCAAGUAGCGUGAAGGAUGAAGGCUCUAUGGGUCGUAAACUUCUUUUAUAUAAGAAUAAAGUGCAGUAUGUAUACUGUUUUGUAUGUAUUAUAUGAAUAAGGAUCGGCUAACUCCGUGCCAGCAGCCGCGGUAAUACGGAGGAUCCGAGCGUUAUCCGGAUUUAUUGGGUUUAAAGGGAGCGUAGGUGGACUGGUAAGUCAGUUGUGAAAGUUUGCGGCUCAACCGUAAAAUUGCAGUUGAUACUGUCAGUCUUGAGUACAGUAGAGGUGGGCGGAAUUCGUGGUGUAGCGGUGAAAUGCUUAGAUAUCACGAAGAACUCCGAUUGCGAAGGCAGCUCACUGGACUGCAACUGACACUGAUGCUCGAAAGUGUGGGUAUCAAACAGGAUUAGAUACCCUGGUAGUCCACACAGUAAACGAUGAAUACUCGCUGUUUGCGAUAUACAGUAAGCGGCCAAGCGAAAGCAUUAAGUAUUCCACCUGGGGAGUACGCCGGCAACGGUGAAACUCAAAGGAAUUGACGGGGGCCCGCACAAGCGGAGGAACAUGUGGUUUAAUUCGAUGAUACGCGAGGAACCUUACCCGGGCUUAAAUUGCAGUGGAAUGAUGUGGAAACAUGUCAGUGAGCAAUCACCGCUGUGAAGGUGCUGCAUGGUUGUCGUCAGCUCGUGCCGUGAGGUGUCGGCUUAAGUGCCAUAACGAGCGCAACCCUUAUCUUUAGUUACUAACAGGUCAUGCUGAGGACUCUAGAGAGACUGCCGUCGUAAGAUGUGAGGAAGGUGGGGAUGACGUCAAAUCAGCACGGCCCUUACGUCCGGGGCUACACACGUGUUACAAUGGGGGGUACAGAAGGCAGCUAGCGGGUGACCGUAUGCUAAUCCCAAAAGCCUCUCUCAGUUCGGAUCGAAGUCUGCAACCCGACUUCGUGAAGCUGGAUUCGCUAGUAAUCGCGCAUCAGCCACGGCGCGGUGAAUACGUUCCCGGGCCUUGUACACACCGCCCGUCAAGCCAUGGGAGCCGGGGGUACCUGAAGUACGUAACCGCAAGGAUCGUCCUAGGGUAAAACUGGUGACUGGGG
rnacentral:rRNA from 1 species